UACGUAGGGGGCAAGCGUUGUCCGGAAUUAUUGGGCGUAAAGAGCGUGUAGGCGGUCCGGUAAGUCAGCUGUGAAAGUCAAGGGCUCAACCCUUGAAAGCCGGUUGAUACUGUCGGGCUAGAGUCCGGAAGAGGCGAGCGGAAUUCCUGGUGUAGCGGUGAAAUGCGCAGAUAUCAGGAAGAACACCCGUGGCGAAGGCGGCUCUCUGGGACGGUACUGACGCUGAGACGCGAAAGCGUGGGGAGCGAACAGG
rnacentral:rRNA from 1 species